rnacentral:misc_RNA from 1 species
CAACCCUCAAGCCCUGGUUGCUUGGUGUUGGGGCAACUGCAGCACUGCCGCAGCCCUGAAGACAAAUGGCGGACCCCUAAGGCAACCCCAGCGUAGUACUUUUUCUAGCUGAGGGCUCUCUGUGGGCGUCGUGCUAUAAAUACAACGUGG